GAAGAAGAAAAAGAAGAAAGUAUUGUCACUGUUCAGCCUUUUCAAGAUGAGUCACCCAGCAGAUAUGCUGACUCUAGGUGACCUCUACCGGCAGCAUAUCCCCCAACAGAAGGAGACUCCCAGGCUUGGCAUUAAUACCUGCCAGGAGUCACCCAGCAGAUAUGCUGACUCUAGGUGACCUCUACCGGCAGCAUAUCCCCCAACAGAAGGAGACUCCCAGGCUUGGCAUUAAUACCUGCCAGGUGAGUAAGCUGGGCUGAGUUUCAUAUAUUUUCAGAGCACCUCUAGAUUGACUUAAGUCAAAAGAUGUGCAGGGCAGAGGCUAGCCUUGGUGAAGGCCAUCACUCUUUAAAAGUUUAUAUAUUGUCUGCCCAACUAGACUCCUUGAGAGGCUGUGUCUUGUUUUCUGGACAGUCUGUUGG
rnacentral:lncRNA from 1 species